GCCGGGCGUGGUGGCGGGCGCCUGUAGUCCCAGCUACACGGGAGGCUGAGGCAGGAGAAUCGCCUGAACCCGGGAGGUGGAGCUUGCAGUGAACCGAGAUCAUGCCACUGCACUCCAGCCUGGGCUACAGAGCGAUACUCUGCCUCAA
ensembl:misc_RNA Metazoa_SRP Metazoan signal recognition particle RNA